rnacentral:rRNA from 1 species
CAGUAGCCGCGGUAAUACGUAGGGUGCAAGCGUUAAUCGGAAUUACUGGGCGUAAAGCGUGCGUAGGCGGUGAGUUAAGUCUGCUGUGAAAUCCCCGGGCUCAACCUGGGAAUGGCAGUGGAUACUGGCUCGCUAGAGUGUGUCAGAGGAUGGUGGAAUUCCCGGUGUAGCGGUGAAAUGCGUAGAGAUCGGGAGGAACAUCAGUGGCGAAGGCGGCCAUCUGGGACAACACUGACGCUGAGGCACGAAAGCGUGGGGAGCAAACAGGAUUAGAGACCCGCGUAGUCCCUGUCUCUUAUAA